UACGGGGGGGCAAGCGUUGUUCGGAAUUACUGGCGUAAAGGGCUCGUAGGUGGUCAACUAAGUCGGACGUGAAAUCCCUCGGCUUAACCGGGGAACUGCGUCCGAUACUGGAUGACUUGAGUUCGGAGAGGGAUACGGAAUUCCAGGUGUAGCGGUGAAAUUCGUAGAUAUCGAGAGGAACACCGGUGGCGAAGGCGGCCAACUGGACGAAUACUGACGCUGAGACACGAAAGCGUGGGGAGCAAACAGG
rnacentral:rRNA from 1 species